CCCUGUAUAGGUCAGUUGGUUAGAGCGCUGCACCUGAAUCGCAAGGCCGCAGGUACGAUUUCUGCUAGAGGGC
rnacentral:tRNA from 1 species